rnacentral:rRNA from 1 species
UACGAGGGGGGCAAAUGUUGUUCGGAAUCACUGGGCGUAAAGGGCGCGUAGGCGGCCUGAUAAGUCGGGGGUGAAAGCCUGUGGCUCAACCACAGAAUUGCCUUCGAUACUGUUAGGCUUGAGUAUGGUAGAGGUUGGUGGAACUGCGAGUGUAGAGGUGAAAUUCGUAGAUAUCGGGAGGAACACCGGUGGCGAAGGCGGCGACCUGGGUCGAUACUGACGCUGAGGCGCGAAAGCGUGGGGAGCAAACAGG